rnacentral:lncRNA from 1 species
UUGGAGGGUUUAUGAGUUUUUGUAUAAUGUUUUGUUUCUUUUUCUUUUUUGUGGGUAUGCUUUUGUGUGCUUAGGAAUAUAUUUUUUUUUGUUUUUUUCCCAAUAACUAAUAUCAUAGUUAAGUUCCGAUUAAGGGAGGAAGGAAGAGCCACAAAAAAAAUUGAUCAAGUAAAACAGGAAGAGUAACAAAGAAGAAUCAGAUGAAUGGAGGAAGAAGACCAAAAGAUUGAAGAGUAAAAU